rfam:Lasius niger Lnig_2.1_14564, whole genome shotgun sequence.
CAAUCGGCCCUUUUCAGGGCCACAUAAAUAUAGCCAACAAUAAUUU